rnacentral:rRNA from 1 species
CCUACGGGAGGCAGCAGUGAGGAAUAUUGGUCAAUGGACGCGAGUCUGAACCAGCCAAGUAGCGUGAAGGAUGACUGCCCUAUGGGUUGUAAACUUCUUUUAUAAAGGAAUAAAGCGAGGCACGUGUGCCUUUUUGCAUGUACUUUAUGAAUAAGGAUCGGCUAACUCCGUGCCAGCAGCCGCGGUAAUACGGAGGAUCCGAGCGUUAUCCGGAUUUAUUGGGUUUAAAGGGAGCGUAGAUGGGUUGUAAAGUCAGUGGUAAAAUUGGGGGGCUCAACCUUAAAUUGCCAUUGAAUCUGGCAGUCUUGAGUAGAGUUGAGGUAGGCGGAAUUCGUGGUGUAGCGGUGAAAUGCUUAGAUAUCACGAAGAACCCCGAUUGCGAAGGCAGCAUACUAAA